UAGCGCCGAAUAAUGCACUAUGUAAACAAGGGGCAUAACCACUCAGCAAAUUGUACUUACGGAUUUCGGAUGUGAUUGUGGAAUGUGUUUUAGUUUCAAACAUUUGUUAUGAUUUAUGAAAAUUUGGGGUCGCAAAAACUGGUGAACAGUGCCAGAAGAAGUACCAAAAUUCCAAGGCUCGGUCUUCUUCAUAUGCGUUACAAAGCAGUGAGAGUGCCACAACAGCCAGCAGAGAAGAACAUAUGAGUGUACCAGUCAUGAAAGUAGAGGCAUGAAGUGGAAAGAAUCGCUCACAAAGAAGACUGACAAGAGAUCACAAGGAGAUACCUUAACAAAACUUACAGAGAAACCGAUGGAAAAAGACUAAGAAAAAAUAGAAUAAAAAAAAAAAAAGUUGACUGUAGAAAUUGAAAUAAUACAUUUGGAGAAAAAGAUGUGUUUAGUGUCAAUACGUGACCAAGUGCUAUAACUCUGACAUGUUAUAUACUAGUAGUAGAUUUAUUCCCCUUUUUGUAAUUAAAAGGAUCUUAUUAUUUUUUUGUGCAACUACUUCAAAACUCUAUUAUUUCUUAAAUAGAAAGUCUAUAUUAGAAAUAAUAGAGUUAUGGAGCAGUUGCACACAAAAUAAUAAGUUUUUUUUUUAAUCAAAAAGGGGCAUUCUCAUAUUUCUAUGAUAAAAAUAUGAUUAUGUCCCUUUUUGUACUUAUAAAAUUCCAGUCAAUAUUUGUGUGCUUGAAGAAAUGUAGGUCAAAUAUUACAUUGGUCAUUGUAUUAUGUUACUGACAGAUAAAAUACAUUCUACAUUCAAAGAGGAAUAUUAGUUGAAUGCGGUGUCUUGGGACACUUCUUGGUAUUAUUUGCUUACAAGAUAUACAUCAUUAAUAAUAAUAAAAUUCUUCAUUCAAUGAACUGAAUGAAAUUCCAGAAUAAUGAUAGAUACAGUUAUGUGAAUUUGAAAUUAGACAUCAACAAAUCCUGGCAUCAUACUUUCGCCCUGGCCAACUGGCAGUGAACUUGAGUGAAGCUCGUUAUUCUGUAGCUGGCGUCAUACACAGCCUGUUAACAUAAAACAUGUUAUAUUACACUAACAAAAUAAGACAUAUUUUUGUACAUUUUUUCUUAGGUAUUUGAUAAAAUGCUGAUGAUAUGUUUCUUAUAUUGCUAAUGGCAAACUGUUAAAAUUAACAUACAGUUGUUUCAUUAAAUAUUUGUGUUUAAAAUAAAGUAUCAAAGAAAAGCGAUUGCAUUUAGACUUGCACAUAACUGACUGUAACGCCAUACCUGAUCGUUGAUGGUGGGAAUGCCCUUUCGCCCUAUGUAGUCUUCUACAUGGUUCACUGGCUUCUUGAUAUGCACAUGCGUGCAAUCAAUGCACCCCAAAGUACUUGGAAAACUUGAAAGUUAAUCUUUUAAAAUUGACCCAUUUUUUGGAAAACUUACGAUAUUAAUAAGUAAAUAGAUAUUGAUAUAAAUGGAUUGUGAUCGGUGCAUUUAUGUGAAUUAUAUUGAAUGAAAGUUCUGCCUUAUGUCAGAAGUGAUGCAAUAUGCUGAUGUGUCUCAACUUGAUAAUCAAAUUUAAUGUCAUCGUUCUACAGCAUUUGUCGCAAAAAUACAUUUUGUAUUGGAACUCAAUUACAACAUAGAUAGACACAAGGACAGAUGCACAUAUGGAUUCAGGUGUACCCUAUAUCUUCUUAACAGGGCGUAUAAUAUACACAUUAUUUAUAGCACCUUUUUUUUAAAUUAAUAAACAUUAAUUCACAUAACAUUAAAGACCAAGAAUAAAAAAAAUAAUUGUCAUAAUUUUUAUUGAAAAUGUUGCGAGAAAAAAAAUUACCCGAUGUAAUUUCGAACCACCGACUAGUCGGUGAUAUAUAAUCUGGAGCACCGAUGCGCUACCAACUGCGUCAUGGCAGUGUAACUUUUGAAGGCAUAUACAUAUCUAUAAGUAAAUUCCUACAUCUAUAAAUAGAUUUGUAAUAGUAAUGAAAUCAAAAUUUAUGCGAAGUAAAUGUCUUGUAAACGUUUUCAAAUAGGUUUCCAUAUUUAGAGAAUAUCCAUUAUUAUAGUUUAUGAUACAUGCAAGUUAUAUGUUAUUACUUUUUCAUUCAAACAACAAGUAUUAUCCAUAAAAUUAGUGCAUGUUCACGUUCAUUCAGUUUGGAGAUUAUUUUCACGAAAAAAAAACAAACAAACGCGGAGAAUUAUGAAUUUGACAGUUGUUUACAAUAAAUAAGAACAAUUGCAAAAUGCACACAUCGCAAAUGACUCACGUAUCAGCGAUCGCACCAAGUUCUUGUUUCGAACGAACGGCGUCGUACCAGCUGGAAAUUUGACAAAUUCAACACUCUAGCUGUCAAAAUAUUAUUGACCUGUGCACAGGUCUACAAGUACAAAGUUCUGGCUACCAUAACUUUAAAUGUCGCUUUUUUAUGAUUUUUGACUGUCGCCACUUGCCACGUUGCUCGGGAAAGUAUACACACUGCCAGGGCGACCGGAACUGGCAGACUCCGCAUCGUAUUGCAAACUAUUCCUUGCAAAUAUUGCAAAUAAAUACGAUUCCUGGUCUGGUAAAACGAUGCCGUCUGUAAUGUUCAAUAUCCCUAUAAAUCUCCAAAUGGUUGGUACGAUCUAGAUACACUAUUUCAAUAAUAUUAUUAUUAUUACGCGAGAAGCUCGUGCGGCGGCCAUUUUGUAAAGUAAACGCUCAAACGACGUUACGUCAUGAUUGUAUGGCGUAAGUCUAAACACUGUAGACUUAGCAUUUGAGACUUAUCUUACUGAGUCUGAGUCUAAAACUAACCAUUUUAUGUUUCGUGAAUUAAGUUUUGUAAGGCUGAGUCUGAGUGUGAGUGAGAAACUGGAGCUGAGUCUAAGAUUUGAGACUUACGUACAUUGGUGAAUACGGCUCCAGUACAGCUUACAUAUGGUGUAGUGGAAGCCAAUAAGUUUAACAUGAAGUCUCCACCUAAUGGCUUGAGUUGGACCACUGUGAUCAAAGUCUGCAAGGGACUUAUCAUUGGGAGGAAUGUGAAACGAGCUCUGGUGUUUAAAAGGUUCACCUUCAUCCAGAACACGAAGUGUACAUUACUCAGAGGCAACU